GCUGGGUGCAGUGGUGCACACCUGUAAUCGCAGCAGCUUGGGAAGCUGAGACAGGAGAAUCACAAGUUCAAAGCCAGCCUCAACAAUGUUGAGGCACUAAGCAACUCAGUGAGACCCCGUGUCUA
rnacentral:sRNA from 1 species